ensembl:lncRNA
GGGAAAAGAAACAGUAUUUUAAAAAGUAAAAAUCUUGCAUCUAGAAGUCUGUCCUUUCCUCAGAUGUGGCUGCUGUUCAAGCACAGAGGCAUCUCUCAAGGAACUGCCAGAUAUAUCAAUGUCUCUCUACAAAUUAACAAAGUGGAGCUGUCAAUUAUUUAAAAAUGUAGAUGCAGCAAGCAGUUGGCUGUGUCUGGUAUUCCUCACAAAGAGGGGUGCCAGAAUUUCACUGGCAAAACACUUCAGCUAAGUGAUCUCAGAUGAAAAAAUGACAGCUUCUGCUAAUAAACAGUCAGGGCUAUGAGUAUAAACAUUCAUCAGUAGUCCUAGAGUGGAGGGAUCGUGGUAGUAUCUGGCUUUGCAGAGACUGUUGUGCUCUUUGCACCCUUGUGCGCAUGUAUUCCAGUCUUAAUCUGGGACAGUUACUGGAACUGGAAUGUACACAAUAAAAAGAAAGAGCAAAGGGCAUCUGCUCUUCAGAGCACAGCUCAAAUGCCUUGGCCAUUUCCUCCCAAAGUGCUAUAGCUUUGUUCCAGCAGCAGCUACAGGAAGGUUCAGCACACCCACAGCUCCCAGAGCUGGUGGAGAAGAUCAUAGGAACUAUCCCAUGUCCUUGGGUGAGCAGCAGAUGACUGGGAGAGGAGUACCAAAACCAUCACAGUGUGCUCCAUUGUGGGUUUGGUGUCUGCUGAGACGUGUCUCAAGGCACAGAGGGACUGAGGGAAGACCCUUGGGCUGGCACUUAGCAGUCAUCCAGCAAGGAGUGUGGAGCUGAGUAAUGGCAGGAGACAGAGGCAGAGAGACAAGAAGCCACAAAUCAGGUAUUCAAGUGGUGCUUCUAGGAUGCCAGAUGUGCUUCCUCCUAGGAGGAUAGAUCCAGGAAUGCAUGGGUUUACUCCAAGGAGACCAAGACAUAUGCAGCUGCAAAAGGAUUUCAAGAUCCACUCCUGUGCACUAGAAAGGAAAUUCACCAGUCCUGGUGUUCACAUCCUCCCAGCUGCCCAGAGGCAGUGACAAGAGCAUCUGAAGCAGCAUCCACCGCUGUGUAGAGGGAGAGAUGAGUGGUGAGCAUUCAUCUGCAGGGUCCUGAUUGCUGGGUGAAAGGGACAGGCAUGCAGCUACACCAUGGUCCAGCAGACACAGCCCAGGAGUCCACAGUAAGUGAUUCUGCAGGGGCUCUAGAAACACAAGCAGCUGCUGAGGGUCCUCCAGAGGAUGAAGAAAAAUCCUGAGAUGCUGAAGGAAGCUUUGAUGCAGAGGAUCUGCUGAUGGAUGCAUUAAUACAAGUGGAAAUAAGGCCUGUUAAAUCUUGCCUGAGCAGUUUUGAGCAGCCUUGGGAUGGACCAACAAAGAGGAAGCAGGACAGAGUCCCUCAGGCUGAGCCUUCAAGUCAGAUUGCAAGUGAUGGAUGGCUGACAGAUGAAGCUGCAAGAGAGACUUUUCCCUGUGGGGCCACCAACAGCACAGGCAGACCCUGCAUCUUCUCCAGCCUCCAUCUACAGCUGUGUUCCACCAAAGCUGUCCAGGUCGGAACUUCUCCCUCCAUGGCAAUGCAGGUAAAGGUGGGAGAAUUCCACAACUCUCCAAACCACCCCACCACUCUGGUCUACAGCCACAUUGCACAGAGAAGUAAGGUCCUUCCAAGCCACGUGAAGUUAAUGUGGUGUCAGACAUGUCUGUGCUCAGGGCAUAAGAAGCCUUUGUGGACUCGUCUCCAGGAGGAGCAGCCCUACCCCAUGGGGUCUGCCUGCCAUGAAGCCUCCCUGUUUUCUCUGCAAUAAUUGUAACUGGACCCUUUUCUAUGUGAGCUGCUUAUCUUCCAUCUGAGGCCCAUUAGGCAGCAUACACAGAGAAUGUGUGAAGUCGGUGCUUGGCCGCCUUACUGCUUCUCGUUUUGGUGUGUGUAGAUGAGGCGAAGGCAGUUUCUGAAUUUCUGCCCCUCAGUGGGCUACAGAAGGGGAGCAGUGAGUCCCUGGGCUACUCCUGCACUGGCAACGUUUAGCAAGGGUCAGUGCCAAUUUGUGGUCAUGCCUUCGUGUCCUGUGCUUGUUGGGUUUUAUUAAUCAGCACUUUGAAAAGGCAGCAGUGGGGUUAUAGAACAUUACUGAAUUCUCGUGGAGGUAUUCAUUUAUCAUUGGCAAGCUUGAUGUUUCACAUAACUGUUACUUCAUCAUAUUCUGUGGUUGGACUUGAUGAUCUUUAAGGUCUUUUCCAACCUGAGCUAUUCUAUGAUUCUAUUAUUCUAUAUAGCAUUUAGUUAAAUGUGUUUUAAAAACCAGCCAUGGAUCCCAUGUUACCAGUGGUAUAAUAUAGAUCCAUGCCUGUCCAAGCAAGCAGCCCACUGCGUGAGUCCAGUGACGAGACAUUUAUGUGCACAGGGUACCUGCUGGGCCAAAGCCAGCAUUUAGGUGCCACUUUCCACCAAGUCUAGGGAAUUUCUCAGUUGCCCUUUUCAGCAAUGUUUUUACAGUCUUUUGUAUGGUAGCAACAGCAUUAAAGGGUUGCUAAGUGCGGGGGGAGGAGAACAGAAGGGUGGAAGUGACUACUUGCAGCUCUCCAUGCCUCUUCCUGGGAUCCAGAGGAACCAGCAGUGCUGCUCACAUUCACACAUGUGCCACCACACGUCUACAACCACACAUCCUCAAGUUAAGGACAGACACUGAAUUCCUUUCCAGUUCAAGCACUGUCAGGUAAAAAAUUGAGCUUUAUGUAUUUGAAUCAUGGACUCAUUUAGGUUGGAAAAGGACUACUAAAAGUCCACCACUAAACCAUGGUCCUAAGCACAACAUUCAUACUUGUCUUAAAUAUCUCCAAGGAUAGGGACUUCCCUGUGCCGCCUUUCUCAAUGCAUAACCACAUUGUGCAGAAAGGAAGAUCCUUCCUUUUUCCUAAAGAAGUUCUCUUGCCCCAGGAUUUCAUCCCAGCACUUGGCUCUUGUGGAGACAGCAGGAAAUGUUCACCGCAUUCUUUAAGGGGGAAACUGAUGACAGUGUUAUUCUCUGUGCACCACAACUCAUGUUUCUGGGUACUGCUAUUCUCAAAACUCUUCAUGCCAGUAAGAGCAUAGGAGCAUGUUUUAUUUCCUUGAUGAGCAAAUGCAACCCUUUGAGCUGGGAAUCUCAAAGGUAGCUCCACAAGAACAAGGCCUUGCUGAAUACUAAUGAAGUAUUUGCCAAAGUACAUGCAAUCCAUGAGCUGUGAUUUACCACUGGUCACUUUGAGAUAGUUUAUAACGAGAUAAAUGAGAAAAAUAAUGUCUCCUUUAAUAAGGUAUAGUGCAGAAAACUAUUUAAGCUGAAAAGAGAUUGGGUUUGCUGAUUGUGUACUGCAUGCAGCCUCUUGAAAACUGGGCUUUCUGUCCCGCAGGGCAUUCCAAUGCAACACUUGGUUUCAUCUGUAAUUACAAUGAACUUUCUAAAUGUCCAUUUCCCACAGAGUCGAAAAAUUUGAAGAAAAACAUGAUUAAAAAAUGGUCAGGAAUGACCUAUGACAUUGUCACUGUCUGGCCCUGCUAUGGCUUCACGUGUAAAUUCGGUUGCACAUGUGGUCACUAUCUCUAUUGCAGGACCCACAGUAAGCAGGUAAAUGCUGUCAACUGCCACAUCUAUAUCAAACUGUGUUUUUGGACAAGUACUGGAGGGCACGACAUCUGAGGUUCAUUUGCUAUGCUCCCUUUUCAGCCACAAAGUGAUUGAUGACUUUAGUGUUUACCUUUAUACAGUGAGGAGUAGGAGUUAUGUUGGCUAUACUGUUACUUCGCAGUCUUAAUGGAACCAUACUCACAAUUAAUAAGGAAUAACUACCUUGCACUUUGGUCACAGACUGAAAUGGGAGAUUUUGGUAGCAGCAACCAAAGAAAAUGUUGGCAGUGAAUGCUGCCUUUGGACUACUUCUGCCCAAUCCAGGCUACUGUGAAUAGAUUUUUUCAAUAGCUAGAGCAUUAAAAUAUUCAAAGCAAUGGCAAUAUAUUUUAUUAAAAACAGUGCAUUGCUUGGUAGGGCAGAAGGAAAUAAUGGCUCAGGGGUCUGGGAAUGGAAGAUGGAACCAUUUACAUCUAAGUCACCCUUUCACAUCUAGCCAAGGUCAGCAGUAAACAAGAAUUGUAUCGUUACCAGCUGGUGGCCCACAGAAUGAGAAAUAAAUUGAUAGUGUGAGUCCAGUUUCCAUGAAAUGAGGCAAAUACUGCAAAACCAGAACCAGAAGUGGAACUAACUGACACUGCUGCUGGCCCUACCUGGGUGCUGAGGAUAGAGUGGUGGAAACCUGACCAUGUCCCAGUAAGACAGGUGGUCCCAACAGGACUGUGGCAGAGGAACAUGCACGGUCCCUUUGCUGCCUGGUGGGCAAGGCAUCCUGCAUCCUGCAGACCCCAGGCUGCGACAUGGAGGGCCGCUUGCCUCCACCUCCCCUGGGCAUUGCACAUACCCAGACACCCAUGUCUGGCUGAUACUCAUGUUGUACAAGCAACAGCUUCUUAGUCCACCUUCCUUUAGUUAGAUGUCCUAUUGAAAUGAGAAAGCUUUAAAGUAUGAUGUGUGAGCUUGGGCUGAGGUAGCAGAUGAUGUUUAUUAUUAUUUUUAUUGGCUUCUUCUGGAUUUUCUGAUGUGAUUAAUUUAUCUAGCCAUAAUAUUUUAAAAGCACAAUCAAAUUUCAUUUUAAUUUGAAGCCAAAAUGCUCAGACUCAUAAUAUUUGAAGCUCAAAAAAUGAUGACUCUUUUUUAAAAUACCACAAGGGAUAUAUCAAUUGAGCUUAAUUACAUCAAAGAACAAUCCCAUAAGAGAGAGGGGAAAAAAAAAAAAAAAAAAAGAAGAAGGAUCUGCCAGAAAUAAAAAGGCUGCAUGGGUCAGUGGUCUCUUGAUUGUAAGGUAUGUGUUACAAUACACAUGUGUAUGUAAACAUAUACAUGCUUGUACAUAAUCAUAUAUAAACCAGCAUACUUUAACACUUAGCUCCACAAAAUGAUCUUUUCAUAGGUAUUAGGAGAGCAUGAGGUGCUCUACAAAAGGAAUUGUGCUUGCUUGUUUUUACUUUUCUCAUAUGACAGGCCAAAUAUUGCCUUUCCUGAUGCUAAUAUCUGGAAAUCUGUUACACAAGUACGCUAGGGGGAAAAAAUUAAUAAAUGGGACUCAUUAAAGGUAUUGCCAGAGAAAACUUACUAGAUUUGGCCAGGACACUGAUUUAAUCAACAUUUUUUCUUAUUGAAAGCAAAUGUUCAAGUGUGGUGAAUUUGAAGUGGCUAACUGAGGAGUUUCAGAGCGGAAAAUAGAUCUGCAUAAACCUGCAUAUAUACACUAAAUCCUAAAUGGAAGAUAGCUCUGUCUGCAUAUUCUGGAGAAGAUCCUGGAGAAAGUAGAAAUAAGGAAAAAAGACAGAAUUAAAUGUUGAUGCCUCCAGAACGAUGCUCUCUGAAGAAUCAUAGAAUUGUUGAUGUUGGAAAAGGCCUCUGAGGUUGUCUAGUGCAACCAUCCACCUACGACUAAUAUUGUCCACUAAACCCUGUCCCUAAGUGAUGCAUCUACCCUUUCCUUACACACCUCUAGGGACGGUGACUCCAGCACUUUCCUGGGCAGCCUAUCCCAGUGCACUGCCACUCUUUCUGAGAAGAAAUUCUUACUAAUACCCAACCUGAAUGAAACAGCAGCUUCACCUUUUUGUUUUAUGGGCAGUUCUAUGGAAGUCUGGCUAAAUAGCAUGGAUGAAGCACCUUCUUCUAAUGCAUCAGUGCAGAAUGAAGUGAACACAGGUAGCCCAGUACAAGGCAGAGCUAAAUGAAUUCCUUGCCUCUCUGUGAGUGCAAUCUGCACCUUGAGUCAGCUGUGCCACCCUGUUACAAAGACUUUGUUGUAGUACAGGAGUCUUAAAAAUAGCCUUCACCUCCUGAACCCCCUUCUAGAAAUGCUCCUCCACUCAGCCACAAGCUGAAGCUAAUUUUCACACAUCUGCUGUAAUUUAAACCAUCUGUGUGGCUGCAAGUUAAGGACAGAGAAUUUGUGGCCCAUAUUCUUCCCAUCUGACACUGGGAAGCUUUUGUGUGCAUUGUCCAUAUGCCUGCAUUAGCUCUAUGGGUUUGGGUCCAGAUAGCCACACUAUUUCUCUUUCAAAAACACUGUUUUUUAAGAAUCCCUCAGUGAGGAAUACUCAUUACCAAGGUGCUUAGGAAGGAGCAAGUGGUGCCAAGCUGGCUCUAGCAGGGUUGCUGGCUACUGUGCACAAUUAGUUGUUAGGCACUGAAGAGCCCUGUCGCAGCUCUUGAUUACCUAGUGUGUUUUGAAAAAUCUCCUCAGCUCAUACCAGCUUUCACUCACUGUAGGUAAUUAAGUUAGAAAAAUAAACACAAGCAGGGCUGCUCUGGCUGCAAGGACUGCUGUGCUCAAUAUAAGCCCUCAGCUGCACAGAGCCAGAGGGAGCUGCUAACAGCACUGACAGCUCAGGGAAGUGAUUUAUGAAGCUUUUCUUUUGCGAAAAGUUGGCAUCUAGACAAUCUGUGCCCCUCCCGCUGCCUGCGUGCUCUUCUGGCAUGUGUAAAGCCCAAGCAUAUUCCAUAAACAGACCAUUAAGCCCAGAAACUCUUCUUAAAACAUAUGAUUAGAAACCAAAACAGCUCAAUCCACAUCCAUGUGAUAUUUGUAUGAAGGAUUACAAAAUGGCAGCAGAAUGACAAGACAUACCAUACUGCCCAGUACCAGAGUAACCAUUUGUCUACUGGGAUAAAAACCAGCGCUGAAGUUCUCCAGUGCUGAAUGUGUAUUGCUGAGCUGAAUGUGUAUUGCUGAUCUUGAGAAAUGUUCUCCUUUAUUGCAGCGUACUCUGCUCCCACUGCUGGUUUAAUCCCAAGGAGCUCCUGCUUUUGAUCUCCAUGUGCAUCUGUGGGCAUAGACUGAGUGCCCAGAUAACUCUGGGAAUGUGGGGAAAGAUGUCCCAUCAGACAGGGCCACACCAACAGAGCCUCACAGGCCCAGGCCUUGACAAAGAACACUGCACAAGCAUGUUUGUGAUGCUUCAAAGAGACAUAGAAUCAUAGAAUGGCCUGGGUUGAAAGGGAUCACAAUGAUCAUGUAGUUUCAACACCCCUGCUAUGUCCAGGGUCACCAACCACUAGACCAGGCUGCCCAGAGACACAUCCAGUCCGGCCUUUAAUGCCUCCAGGGAUGGGGCAUCCACAACCUCCUUGGGCAACCUGUUCCAGUGUGUCACCACCCUCUGAGUGAAAAACUUCCUCCUAAUAUCUAACCUAAACCUCCCCUGUCUCAGUUUAAAAUCAUUCCCCCUUGUCCUGUCACUAUCCACCCACGUAAACAGUCAUUCCCCCUCCUGUUUAUACGCUCCCUUCAAGUAUUGGAAGGCCACAAUGAGGUCUCCCUGGAACCUUCUUUUCUCUAAGCUAAACAAGCCCAGUUCCCUCAACCUUUCUUCAUAGAAGAGGUGCUCCAGCCCUCUAAUCAUCUUAGUGGCCCUCCUCUGGACCCACUCCAAGAGUUCCACAUCCUUCCUGUACUGGGGGCUCCAGGCCUGGACACAGUACUCCAGAUGGGGCCUCACAAGAGCUGAGUAGAGGGGCACAAUCACCUCCCUCCCCCUGCUGGCCACUCCUUUUUUAGUGCAGCCCAGGAUAUAGUUGGCCUUUCAGGCUGCAACCGCACAUUGCUGGCUCAAGUGUAGCUUCUCGUCCAUCAGGACCCCCAAGUCCUUCUCUGCAGGGCUGCUCUCAAGGAGAUCUUCC